GAUGAACGCUAGCUACAGGCUUAACACAUGCAAGUCGAGGGGAAACGAUAGAGAAAGCUUGCUUUUUCUAGGCGUCGACCGGCGCACGGGUGAGUAACGCGUAUCCAACCUGCCCAUCACUUGGGGAUAACCUUGCGAAAGUAAGACUAAUACCCAAUGACGUCUCUAGAAGACAUCUGAAAGAGAUUAAAGAUUUAUCGGUGAUGGAUGGGGAUGCGUCUGAUUAGCUUGUUGGCGGGGUAACGGCCCACCAAGGCGACGAUCAGUAGGGGUUCUGAGAGGAAGGUCCCCCACAUUGGAACUGAGACACGGUCCAAACUCCUACGGGAGGCAGCAGUGAGGAAUAUUGGUCAAUGGGCGAGAGCCUGAACCAGCCAAGUAGCGUGAAGGAUGAAGGUCCUACGGAUUGUAAACUUCUUUUAUACGGGAAUAAAGUUUCCUACGUGUAGGAUUUUGUAUGUACCGUAUGAAUAAGCAUCGGCUAACUCCGUG
rnacentral:rRNA from 1 species